AUCGCUUCUCGGCCUUUUGGCUAAGAUCAAGUGUAGCUUUAUGAAUUGUCACCAGGCUGGUGGUGAGCUUUUAGUGACACAGCUAUCUUUGAGACACAUCUCUUCCUCACCCUUAUUUAUGUAAGCAAUACCAAUAAAAUGUAUUGGUUCACCAAGUUGAAUUUGUUGGUAUCCUUACUUUCAUUCUCUAUCUGAGGUGAGUAGAAGUUUG
ensembl:snRNA U2 U2 spliceosomal RNA